UAUUGAUGUAGGCUUCCAUGGAACUGC
rnacentral:piRNA from 1 species